rnacentral:rRNA from 1 species
GCCAGCAGCCGCGGUAACACCGGCGGCCCGAGUGGUGAUCGUGAUUAUUGGGCUAAAGGGUCCGUAGCCGGUUUGGUCAGUCCUCCGGGAAAUCUGAUAGCUCAACUAUUAGGGCUUUCGGGGGAUACUGCCAGACUUGGAACCGGGAGAGGUAAGAGGUACUACAGGGGUAGGAGUGAAAUCUUGUAAUCCCUGUGGGACCACCUGUGGCGAAGGCGUCUUACCAGAACGGGUUCGACGGUGAGGGACGAAAGCUGGGGGCACGAACCGGAUUAGAUACCCGGGUAGUCCCAGCCGUAAACGAUGCUCGCUAGGUGUCAGGCAUGGCGCGACCGUGUCUGGUGCCGCAGGGAAGCCGUGAAGCGAGCCACCUGGGAAGUACGGCCGCAAGGCUGAAACUUAAAGGAAUUGGCGGGGGAGCACAACAACGGGUGGAGCCCUGCGGUUUAAUUGGACUCAACGCCGGACAACUCACCGGGGGCGACAGCAAUAUGUAGGCCAAGCUGAAGACUUUGCCUGAAUCGCUGAGGAGUGGUGCAUGG